UGACGUCGGCGUGACGCCCCGCCCCCCGGCCGUCUCGAUUGGUCCCUGUCAGUAAAGCCCGCCCCCGCCCUACUCUAUUGGUCCCCAACUUAGUCCUGCUGGGCUUCGAGGACACACAGACUCCGCCCCCGCCUCAGCUACCCGAGACCCUGCCUUUCUCACCCCAAGCACAGAGCCCGAGGUCCCCUCAGAUCCUCACAGCCCCCAACGACCGCCCCACAGAUGUCUCAAAGGAACCCUAUCCUCACAAUCCCAGACUCCCCCGGACGUACGCACAGAUCUCCGCAGAUCCUACCCAAACACUCGCUCACAGAGAUCCCGCAACACACACCCCACUUUUCAGAAGUAAACCCUCUGGGCUCGCCCCCUCGAGGCCCAAUGCAAGCCCCUCAGGAGACCUUACCCACCGGGGAGGUGACCAGACCGCCGUUGCCACGGAGACUACUAGGCGUUCCGGUUGCCCUGGUGACCGGCGCCUACUCUCCUGGCCCGGGUUCCGGAGGCUUCAGUCAAGACCCUCCCUCAUUGGCCCUAGACCCCUUGUCCCUACCCACUUCCCCAGGUCAUGCCAGAGCUCCUUUGCGAAGUUCUGCAGAUAUCCAAGUCCCCUUCCCAGAUAGCAGACUUUCAGGCAAGGCAUUUCAACACUCAACACCUGCAGCUGAGGCACAUCCACAACCAAGAGCCUUUCCUCCCUGAGGAUCAACACCUCCCCCUGCCAUCCUAAGUCAAGGUCUUGACCUAAGGACUUGUAACAACCAAGCCAAAGCCCAGAGCUACUCGGGAGGCUGAGGCAGGAGAAUCACUUGAACCCGGGAGGCGGAGGUUGCAGUGAACCGAGAUUGCGCCACUGCACUCCAGUCUGGGCAACAGAGCGAGACUCCAUCACAAAAAGAGAAGAGAAGAGAAGGCCAGCAGGCAGAUGGAAGCAGAUGAGAUCAUAGAAGAGCCUCAUACCACCAUGGAUGCAGAGAAGCACCCCCCUUCAAAAGACCCCUCUGCUGAGGACUUACAGGAGAACCAUAUCUCUGAAAGCUUCUUGGAGCCUUCCACCUCUGAGACCCCGUUAGAGCCCCAUACCUCUGAAUCCCCUUUGGUGCCAUCCCCUUCCCAGAUCCCCUUAGAGGCCCAUUCCCCUGAAACCCAUCAGGAGCCUUCCAUCUCUGAGACUCCUUCAGAGACCCCUACCUAUGAGGCUUCAUUGGAUAGUCCCAUCUCAGUGGUGCCAGAGAAACACCUUACUCUUCCUCCCCAAUCACGAGACUAUGUCUGUCUGUCUUCUUCUGAUACUCUGAAGGAAGACCUCUCCUCUGAGUCUUCUUCCAAUGAGGUCCCAUGGACAAGGAGGUCUACCCAUCUCUCUGAAUCUGAGAGCCUUCCAGAACACUGUCUUUCAGGCCCUUCAGCCCAGGUCCAAGUGGACACAACCGAAAAGCAGGAGGAAGAAGCAGGAGAGGUUGAAAAGGGAGUAGAUGCCAGUGACAGCACUGCUCACACAGCCCAACCUGGACACCAACUAGGCAAGAAGAAGAAGAAGAAAGGAGUUAGCUGUAACACAGCCCGCCCAGUGUUCCCUGCUAGGCAGACAGAGCUGGUGGAAGUGGCUAAGGCAAUGCAUAGAGAGGAGUUUGGUGCUCAGGUGAACAAUCUUUUCCAGUGGGAGAAGGAUGCAGCCCUGAAUGCCAUCCAGACAGACAGAAUUCAGAACUCCUCUAGUGGAAUCCUGGCUCCCGCCCACCUGCAUUGUGACUGCCUAUACCUUGCUCUCUCAACAAAGCCUCCCUGGUGUAAGGGGGCACUGGCACUACAGGCAAUCAGCAUCAAGACCGAAGAAGCAAAGCCAAAAGCCACAUCUAGACAGGCUUUAGAUCCUGACAGACUAUGGGUCUCUACAUUGGCUGGCGCUGCCCCCAUUACCUAUGGGACUGUUUCCGGAUUGGGGAUGAGUCCAGAUGCUUUUGUGGACACUUGUUGAGAGAGCACCGGAUCAUCUCAGACAUAUCGGUGCCCUGCAAGGUAAGCCAGUGCCGCUGCUUCAUGUUCUGCUUUAUCCCAUCACGCCCAGAGGAGGUGGGUGAGUUCUGGCUCAAGAGACGGGCCACCUUUGACCCCAAGGCCUGGAGGGCCCAAUGUCGCUGCAAACACAGCCACGAAGAACAUGCAGCCACUGGGCCCCAUCCCUGCAGGCAUCAUGGCUGUUGUUGCGGCUGUUUUGAGUCUAAUUUCCUCUGUGCGGCCUGUGACCGGCGCUGGGAGGAACACGAGACUUUCUUUGACACCCAGAAGACCCGGCAACGAGGAGGAAGGCCUCGCGGGACAGACACUGUCAGCAACUGGCACAGGCCUUUGUGAGUCUGGCCCAGAUCAGCAAUAAAAGAGGAGUCAUUGGAA